rnacentral:misc_RNA from 1 species
GAUGAAGAACGUAGCGAAAUGCGAUAAGUAAUGUGAAUUGCAGAAUUCAGUGAAUCAUCGAAUCUUUGAACGCACAUUGCGCCCCUUGGUAUUCCGAGGGGCAUGCCUGUUCGAGCGUCAUUUCAACCCUCAAGCACAGCUUGUGUGUUGGGCCUCCGUCCUCCUCCCGGGGGACGGGCCCGAAAGGCAGCGGCGGCACCGCGUCCGGUCCUCGAGCGUAUGGGGCUUCGUCACCCGCUCUUGUAGGCCCGGUCGGCGCUUGCCGACACAUCAAUCUUUUUUCCAGGUUGACCUCGGAUCAGGUAGGGAUACCCGCUGAACUUAAGCAUAUCAAUAAGCGGAGGA